AAGGAGGCUGUGGAUGCCCCUGGAUGUGCUGGAUGUGGCUCUGGGCAGCCUGGGCUGCUGGUUGGCCUACGAAGAAAAGAUAAAGACAUUUUGCCAGUCUUGAACAAUUUGAAAACUGAAGAGGUAUAAAAUCUGUUUUCACCACGUGUGGCUUUUCUGAUUGCUAAUACAAGAUGUCUACAUUUCCAAGUAAUCUUUAGAUUUAAGAGUACAUCAUAGUAUGCAAGUUGGUGGGGAGAAUACACAGAACCACAGAACAGUCUAGAAGCAAAAUGCUCCUAUACUUGAAGCUCCCUCUUUUUUCUUCUAUUUUCCUCAGCUUAUGCACACUUCCACCUGAUUUCUCCUCUGCACAGAGGUAAGAAUAUCUACCUGUCAUCUGCCCUGCAGACCAAGGCAGAGCAUCACAUCUGUGAUAAAGUAGGGUCAGUUAAAACAUUUAAUGCAGAUGUCCUUCUUUUCACUCGAUUUCCCUGUUGCUUGGUAGUUUUCCUGUUGCUCGGUAGUUGUGUUCUCUAAAAGAUAGGGAAUGGAAUGGUUUUUCAGGAAAGAAUAAAUGCAUAUUACAGGUGUUAGUGCAGCUGACUCAGUAUGAAAGUAGCUUAUAACCUUUAUGGUAAUCAGAGUAAUCUGCUAGAACAGAAAGCUCAUCAGAGACUCUGCUACAAGGGGCCAUCAAUAGUCAAUAGUUACAAUAGUCAAAGGCCUGGAAUGUUUAGGUUUAUGUUGUAAUUCAUUAAUUCAUAGUUCUGUGUGGUUUUAAAGUCUACAGAAGGAUUCUGCAUAUAACAAAUUUGCACACAACAACCAGCUAGGACAGCUUGCUUCUUGUUUCUGCCUGUUUCUACUUAACACAGCUGUUAGAAGUGCUAUCCUGAUUGCCUGUGUAUGUCCUGUAUUCUAAGAGGCAGCUCUGCAGUUGUAGGACUCUUGCUAAAAAACAUUUAGCAGAAUUGUUGCCUGACUUGUGCAACAAAUGUGAUGUGUCCUAGCAGCGGGUUAUCUAUUUUUAAAGAAUAGAUUUCUUUAUUCACAAGAGCUUGCUGGUUUUUUUUACACAUAAAUAAUUUGUUGCCUUAAAAAAGUGCAAUGGAUUUAAACACUGUAUUUUUGUCAGCUCUCCUUUGUCUUAUAUUUUGUUGAAGCUGGAAAGAAGCAGCUGUUGUCCUUCUCACUGUAAGAAUGGCUGAGGAGUGGAAUUUUCUCUACAUCUACUGCUUCAGCUCAUCAUUGGAUCCAUUUGUCUGACUUUAGAUUUACUCCAGCAGCAUUUGAGAUAAUUAAGGAGGAACUGAAAAAGCCUUUCUUCAGCAUGCCCAUCGGAUCAGAGGUGUUAGCCCAAAGUUAAAUAUGAGAAGAAAUACUCGAUACCUGCUGCUGCACAGAUAGAGGUCCUGAUGUGCUUGCUGAGGAAUCCUCGGAAACACAGCAUCCAAGUUGAAACCUCUGUUAUUGUCAUCAGGAUAAUUCACAACGAAUGUCAAACUUUGGCUGCCAACAGCUGUGUGAAGCUGGCACUCAAGGAUACCUUUGUUAACCUGUGUGCUGUUCCCAGGGCAUCCAAAACCACCACAGCUGCCUCUGAAGUGCUCCUGUUGUAGCUGUUUGGGCACCAGGACCAGCAAAGUAAGUGUGUUUUGUUAUUAACUGCUUUGAGUUGGCCAGUGUGUUAUUGUGCAGAUUGACUGUGUUACCCCUCUGAAUGGUGAGUUGGGUAUCCAAUAUAUUUAGUUAAGACAGCUGUUAGAGGAGGCAUAGCUUAGUGUGACAGGCUUGGGACUCUCAUAGGAGGCUGUGUCAUUUUUCUUAGCACCUUCUGUAAAAUCAUAUAGAAAAUAUGCCUUGGACAUAAAAUCAUACAGAGUCAUAGAAGUGUUGGGUAGGAAGGGACCUUAAAACCUAACCUAGUUCCAACCUGGAACCCACUUCACUUUUAACAACGGAGAGUUAAGGAAAAGGCAGACCAAGAUGCGAUAGAGUACCAGGCCUAAGAGACAGCAUUUGAAGUACUAAAAUGUAAUUAGUUCAGUAGGCUCAGAUUAAAAACAAACAAACAAAUCUUUCUAUAGAAACAGUGCACUGUUUUACAAAUGUAUUCAUUUGGUUUGCAGUGAUCCUUAUGCAUGUAAGUACAGCACGUGUUACACAGCAGAUCCCUCCCCAACCCUCCCUGGUCCUUUCAUCCAUACCAAAAACUGAAACACAAAAGGCACCGAGCAAGAACUUACUUUAACAGAACUUCAACAUGACGAGACAGAUCAGAAGUGAUUACAAUGUUAAAUAUCAUCCUAACAACCUGAACCGUUAUUUAAAAUAACUUCUUU